UGGUGCCGUAACUUCGGGAGAAGGCACGCUGAUAUGUAGGUGAAGCGACUUGCUCGUGGAGCUGAAAUCAGUCGAAGAUACCAGCUGGCUGCAACUGUUUAUUAAAAACACAGCACUGUGCAAACACGAAAGUGGACGUAUACGGUGUGACGCCUGCCCGGUGCCGGAAGGUUAAUUGAUGGGGUUAGCGGUAACGCGAAGCUCUUGAUCGAAGCCCCGGUAAACGGCGGCCGUAACUAUAACGGUCCUAAGGUAGCGAAAUUCCUUGUCGGGUAAGUUCCGACCUGCACGAAUGGCGUAAUGAUGGCCAGGCUGUCUCCACCCGAGACUCAGUGAAAUUGAACUCGCUGUGAAGAUGCAGUGUACCCGCGGCAAGACGGAAAGACCCCGUGAACCUUUACUAUAGCUUGACACUGAACAUUGAGCCUUGAUGUGUAGGAUAGGUGGGAGGCUUUGAAGUGUGGACGCCAGUCUGCAUGGAGCCGACCUUGAAAUACCACCCUUUAAUGUUUGAUGUUCUAACGUUGGCCCGUAAUCCGGGUUGCGGACAGUGUCUGGUGGGUAGUUUGACUGGGGCGGUCUCCUCCUAAAGAGUAACGGAGGAGCACGAAGGUUGGCUAAUCCUGGUCGGACAUCAGGAGGUUAGUGCAAUGGCAUAAGCCAGCUUGACUGCGAGCGUGACGGCGCGAGCAGGUGCGAAAGCAGGUCAUAGUGAUCCGGUGGUUCUGAAUGGAAGGGCCAUCGCUCAACGGAUAAAAGGUACUCCGGGGAUAACAGGCUGAUACCGCCCAAGAGUUCAUAUCGACGGCGGUGUUUGGCACCUCGAUGUCGGCUCAUCACAUCCUGGGGCUGAAGUAGGUCCCAAGGGUAUGGCUGUUCGCCAUUUAAAGUGGUACGCGAGCUGGGUUUAGAACGUCGUGAGACAGUUCGGUCCCUAUCUGCCGUGGGCGCUGGAGAACUGAGGGGGGCUGCUCCUAGUACGAGAGGACCGGAGUGGACGCAUCACUGGUGUUCGGGUUGUCAUGCCAAUGGCACUGCCCGGUAGCUAAAUGCGGAAGAGAUAAGUGCUGAAAGCAUCUAAGCACGAAACUUGCCCCGAGAUGAGUUCUCCCUGAGACUUUAAGUCUCCUGAAGGAACGUUGAAGACGACGACGUUGAUAGGCCGGGUGUGUAAGCGCAGCGAUGCGUUGAGCUAACCGGUACUAAUGAACCGUGAGGCUUAACCUUACAACGCCGAAGGUGUUU
rnacentral:rRNA from 1 species